GUACUGUGAAGGAAAGGUGAAAAGGACCCCGGGAGGGGAGUGAAAGAGAACCUGAAACCAUAUGUUUACAAGCUGUGGAAGCACUUUUGUAAGUGCGACCGCGUACUUUUUGUAGAACGGUCCGGCGAGUUACGCCGGCUGGCAAGGUUAAGGGCUUUAAAGGCCCGGAGCCGAAGGGAAACCAAGUCUGAAUAGGGCGAGCACAAGUCAGUCGGAGUAGACCCGAAACCGGGUGAUCUAUCCAUGUCCAGGUUGAAGUUGCCGUAAAAGGCAAUGGAGGACCGAACCCACAUCCGUUGAAAAGGGUGGGGAUGAGGUGUGGAUAGGGGAGAAAUUCCAAUGGAGCCCGGAGAUAGCUGGUUCUCCUCGAAAUAGCUUUAGGGCUAGCCUCAUA
rnacentral:ncRNA from 1 species